AGAGUUUGAUCCUGGCUCAGAACGAACGCUGGCGGCGUGCUUAACACAUGCAAGUCGAGUGCGCGCCUGUAGCAAUACAGGUGGCGCACGGCGCACGGGUGCGUAACACGUGGGUAACCUGCCCUUUGGUGGGGAAUAACUCCGCGAAAGCGAAGCUAAUUCCGCAUAAGAUCCGCAAGGAUGAAAGCCGAAAGGCGCCGAUGGAGGGGCCCGCGCACGAUUAGCUAGUUGGUAGGGUAAUGGCCUACCAAGGCUUUGAUCGUUAGCUGGUCUGAGAGGAUGGCCAGCCACACUGGAACUGAGACACGGUCCAGACUCCUACGGGAGGCAGCAGUGGGGAAUCUUGCACAAUGGGCGAAAGCCUGAUGCAGCGACGCCGCGUGGGGGAUGAAGCUUCUCGGAGUGUAAACCCCUUUCGAUCCGGACGAAUGCCCGCAAGGGAUUGACGGUACGGAUAUAAGAAGCCCCGGCUAACUACGUGCCAGCAGCCGCGGUAAUACGUAGGGGGCCAGCGUUGUUCGGAAUUACUGGGUGUAAAGGGUUCGUAGGCGGUGCGGCAAGUUGGGAGUGAAAUCUCUGGGCUCAACCCAGAGGCUGCUUCCAAAACUGCCGUGCUUGAGUGUGGGAGAGGCUCGUGGAAUUGCAGGUGUAGCGGUGAAAUGCGUAGAUAUCUGCAGGAACACCCGUGGCGAAAGCGGCGAGCUGGACCACUACUGACGCUGAAGAACGAAAGCUAGGGGAGCAAACAGGAUUAGAUACCCUUGUAGUCC
rnacentral:rRNA from 1 species